CCCUUAGACGUUCUGGGCCGCACGCGCGCUACACUGACCAGUGCAACAAGCAUCCGUCCUUGGCCGACAGGCCCGGGCAAUCUUUGAACGCUGGUCGUGAUGGGGAUAGACUUUUGCAAUUUUUGGUCUUCAACGAGGAAUUCCUAGUAAACGCAAGUCAUCAACUUGCAUUGAUUACGUCCCUGCCCUUUGUACACACCGCCUGUCGCACCUACCGAUUGAAUGGUCCGGUGAAGCCUCCGGAUUGGCGCGCACCUCGGUGCCGCCGAGAAGUUGGCUAAACCUUACCAUUUAGAGGAAGGUGAAGUCGUAACA
rnacentral:rRNA from 1 species